UUGGAGAGGCCAAACAACACAGUACGCUUUCCCUUUCCGGAUCUGGCUUCUCUCCGAUCACCGCGAUUCUUUGAAAUCGAUCGGCUUCUCUACUCUAUCGCUCUAUAUCCAGUCUCAAUCCUCUAAUGCUUUACUGCUAUUAGGUAUUUUCUUAGUCUGUAGUCCUAUUUGUUUACUACCGGCUGCGAUUCGUCGGAUCGUUAUCUAUGCUUGAGGUCCAAAACUUUUUACAUGUGCUUCAAGGUUUAAAUGUGAAAGACAGUGCAGAUGUGAUGAGCAAAUACAAUGUUAAAAGGAGGCUAAUGUAGUUUGUAACCUGAGACUAAUGUAGUUUCACAUUGUUAUAAUCAUUUUUUUCUCUUACUAAGUGCAAACCUUUGAUUGAAAAUAAUACAAUUUGAUUUUUUCCUUUAUAGAAGGAUUUGAUUUUUAUAACUGGAUGGCAUUUGUUUUGAGCACGUGAAACCAAUAUGCUUGUUAUUACUACUGGUUUGUCAUUUUUGUUUUGAAUAUGAAGUCACUAAUCAAAUGUGAAUAACCUACAGAGUUCUGUGAUCAAGUACAGAUUCAGUGUGCUCUCAUUGGUAGCUAAGGAGGUUAUCACUAUUAGUGACUCAUGGGUGCCAAGAUGAUGGUUUCAACCUUUUUUUUUUUUUGAAUGCAGAUGAUGGUUUCAACCUAAUUUCUGUUUGUAAUGAAAACAUUACCUCAGUGUUUCGGCCAUCAAGUUCUGCAGAUGUCCUUCCCUAAGAUGAAUAAUGGAGCCAAGAUGAACAAUGGAGCCAUUUUCAGGUUAUAUCAGAUGGAUGGCAAAGUCUAAGCAGUGAAUAGCAAACACGCAGAGGGUUAGUGCAAAAGGCGGUUUAGAGAGGUUUAUAUAGAGGGCUAACAUUGUAUUCAAAAUUUGAAAAAUACCUUGGAAGCCUGAAGGCUACUGGAAACCUUUCAGUUUCCAAGAGCACAAUUAAUAGAUGAUUGUUUAGAAGCAUUUAAUAGUAUAUAUACAGAUGUAAAAUAUGUAGGUGUCUAUCUGUAGUUAUGCGCGUGUCUAUCUGUAUGUAUGCAGGUGUAUAUAUGUAGCUUAUCAUUAGAAGUCUUUCAUUAA